rnacentral:rRNA from 1 species
GGCACCGCCUGCCCAGUGACUUAUGUUCAACGGCCGCGGUAUUUUGACCGUGCAAAGGUAGCGUAAUAACUUGUCCUUUAAAUGUGGACUAGUAUGAAUGGCUUCACGAGGGCUUAUCUGUCUCCUUUUUUAAGUCAAUGAAAUUGAUCUUCCCGUGCAAAAGCGGGAAUGUCUUCAUAAGACGAGAAGACCCUGUGGAGCUUUAGACACCAAGACAAAUCCCGUUAAUUAUACCCCAUUAAAGGUUUAAACUAAGGAAACCCUGCUCUGAUGUCUUUGGUUGGGGCGACCGCGGAGAAUAAAAAAACCUCCCCUUCCGCGCGGAAUGGGGGAACCUUAACUCAACCCCCCUAUAACCGAGAGCUACAACUCGAACUACCAGAACUUUCUGACCACUAUUGAUCCGGCUUUCAGCCGAUCAACGAACCUAGUUACCCCAGGGAUAACAGCGCAAUCCCCUUCUAGAGCCCAUAUCGACAAGGGGGUUUACGACCUCGAUGUUGGAUCAGGACAUCCUAAUGGUGCAGCCGCUAUUAAGGGUUCGUUUGUUCAACGAUUAAAGUCCUACGUGAUC